rnacentral:rRNA from 1 species
AUAUCAAUAAGCGGAGGAAAAGAAACCAACAGGGAUUGCCCUAGUAGCGGCGAGCGAAGCGGCAACAGCUCAAAUUUGAAAUCUGGCCCUUCCGGGGUCCGAGUUGUAAUUUGCAGAGGAUGCUUCGGCGUCGGCUCCGGGAUAGGUCCUCUGGAACGGGGCGCCGUAGAGGGUGAGAGCCCCGUAUUCGCCCGGGUGGCCGUCGCCGUGUGAAGCUCCUUCGAAGAGUCGAGUUGUUUGGGAAUGCAGCUCUAAGCGGGAGGUAUAUUUCUUCUAAAGCUAAAUACCGGCCAGAGACCGAUAGCGCACAAGUAGAGUGAUCGAAAGAUGAAAAGCACUUUGGAAAGAGAGUUAAAAAGCACGUGAAAUUGUUGAAAGGGAAGCUCUUGCCGCCAGACUUGCCCCGGUUGCUCAGCCGUCCUACUGGUCGGUGCACUCUUCCGGCGGCAGGCCAGCGUCAGUUCGGGCGGUCGGACAAAGGCGGUGGGAAUGUAGCUCCCCCCCAGGGGAGUGUUAUAGCCCGCGGUGCAAUGCGGCCAGCCCGGUCUGAGGUACGCGUUCCGCGAGGACGUUGGCGUAAUGGUGGCAAGCGACCCGUCUUGAAACACGGACCAAGGAGUCUAACAUCUGUGCGAGUGUUUGGGUGUCAAACCCAUGCGCGCAAUUAAAGUGAACGGAGGUUGGAACCCCCUCGAGGGGCGCACAAUCGACCGAUCCUGAUGUCUUCGGAUGGAUUUGAGUAAGAGCAUAGCUGUUGGGACCCGAAAGAUGGUGAACUUUGCCUGGACAGGGCGAAGCCAGAGGAAACUCUGGUGGAGGCUCGCAGCGGUUCUGACGUGCAAAUCGAUCGUCAAAUCUUGGCAAAGGGGCGAAAGACUAAUCGAACCAU